UUCCUUUAGAAUAUAUUUAAAGGUAUAACCUGCUCAAUGUUAAAUUAUAAAUAGCUGCGGUAUCUUAACCGCACUAAGGUAGCAUAAUUAAUUGUCUUUUAAAUGGUGACUUGUUUGAAUGGUUUAAUGAGAAAAGAAUUUUGUUUGAUUUUAAAAAGAAUUUAUAUUUUAAGGUUAAAAUACCUAAAUUAUAAAGAAAGACGAGAAGACCCUGUUGAGUUUAAUAAUUAUAUAAUUAAUUAUUUAAAUGGGAAAUUUAAUUUCUUUAUGAAAUUUAUUAGAUCCUAAAAGUAUUUGGAAAAAGGAUAAAAUUACCACAGGGAUAACAGGACUAUAUUUUCUGAGAGUUCAUAUUGAAGAAAAUGUUUGUUACCUCGAUGUUGAAUCGAAAUAACUUUUUGGUGCAGUAGUCAAAUAAGUAGGUCUGUUCGACCUUUAAAAUUUCACG
rnacentral:rRNA from 1 species